rnacentral:rRNA from 1 species
GAUGAACGCUGGCGGCGUGCCUAAUACAUGCAAGUCGAGCGAAAAGACGAGGAUCUUGCUCCUCUGACGUUAGCGGCGGACGGGUGAGUAACACGUGGAUAACCUACCUAUAAGACUGGGAUAACUUCGGGAAACCGGAGCUAAUACCGGAUAAUAUAUUGAACCGCAUGGUUCAAUAGUGAAAGACGGUUUUGCUGUCACUUAUAGAUGGAUCCGCGCCGCAUUAGCUAGUUGGUAAGGUAACGGCUUACCAAGGCAACGAUGCGUAGCCGACCUGAGAGGGUGAUCGGCCACACUGGAACUGAGACACGGUCCAGACUCCUACGGGAGGCAGCAGUAGGGAAUCUUACGCAAUGGGCGAAAGCCUGACGGAGCAACGCCGCGUGAGUGAUGAAGGUCUUCGGAUCGUAAAACUCUGUUAUUAGGGAAGAACAAAUGUGUAAGUAACUAUGCACGUCUUGACGGUACCUAAUCAGAAAGCCACGGCUAACUACGUG